AGCUUUCUCAAUCCGUGCAGAGAUUUCGCCAGACACCAACUCAAUAGGACCGAUAAAACUCCCAAGAUAAUGUAAGUG
rnacentral:pre_miRNA from 1 species